CGAGACUGAUAUGAAAUGACAGAGAUCAUUACAUAUCCUGCAACAUCCAUCAUGAUCGGCUCCCUGAACCGAACAACCUAGAUUCCACGACGCAAGCAGGAUGCUCGAGGCGGGCCAGAUUAUGUGCCCCCCAAUGCUCAAUCGACUCUAGCGUGGUUAGCUCAGUGACAUUUAGCGAGAGCUCAAGGAAUGUCAGUCAAAGUAUAAUCGAAUUGUACUGACUCGUAUCAGUUAAUGUACCAAGAUACCAACGAACAAACGAGUAUUAGUCUGACGGGCCGGAUCGGUCAUCAAUGCAUUCAUCCUGGAAAGCCAAUGUAGAUAUUCCAGAAGGGGAGUAGUGUACAGUCGAGACUCUGUCAACCAACGAGGUAAUUUAGGUCAAAGACUAAUUACACCAAUGAACGAUGGGAAUUGCUCGUAUAAAAGUUUUGAAUCAGACGAUGUUGCGCCUAAUUUAGUUUAGCGAUGUACCAGUACGAAAUAGUUAUGGAUGAAAUCUGAGUUACCAUUAUCUCCCCCACCGAAAGGCCUCAGCUUCUAUUGUCAAUGUCAAUCAUAACAAGCACGAUAUGUCUCAAUAACUCGAGUAGCUACGUACUAGCUGGUCGAGAAAGCAAUCCAAUAUGCAUAGGCAACUGCGGCAAACGGUCAAUUGACGGAAUACACAGAAUUUGGUGAUAUUAAACUAUCCGAGCUCGGCCUUUAGCUCCGGACAUGUCUCGCUGUCCCCGCGUGUCAGAUCAAAAGCAUUAGAAAUCAUUUCCAUGCUUUCCAACAGCAGUUAAUCAGUAAUCGCUAAUGACUGAAUAGGAUAUUUCAUGCGUACGCCAGGGUUGUUGAAUUGUCUUGACAGCUCGGUUGCAGGCACCCGGGAUCAACCGUACCUCCAAGUACCUCCGAAGUCCGUACAAAAAAGGAACCUGAUUAGUAGUCUAGUAUCAACUACGCCAUAAGUAGCAAGUAGACUAGUACAGUUGAGAGUGAGCCAGGUCCACCAUGCGGCCAGUCAAUCGAAUGUCAUUCACAACGGCCCGAAAAGACAGUGGCUCGCUCCGUUAGAAGCUAUGUUCAAGUCCAAAUUAAUGACCUGGAAUCUUACUUUGCUUGAAUGAAAUGAAAAGGUCUAAAGGGCUAGCCCCGUGGCUUAGAA
rnacentral:lncRNA from 1 species